rnacentral:lncRNA from 1 species
CUUCAGGACUGAUAAUUAAGAGGACCUGAGAACCUUGCUGCCCAUGGUAUGGUUUCGGUUGGGGGAAAAAAAAAGUGCUGUAAUGCACAAAUUCUUGUUGAUGGCUCUGUAUUAGUUUCCUAAGACUUGCCAGAACAAAGUACCACAGACUGGGUGGCCUAAACAACAGAAGGGUAUUGUCUCACAGUUCUGGAAGCUAGAAGUGCAAAGUCAAUGUGUCAGCAGGAUUGGUUCCUUUUGGGACAUGUGAGAAUUUGUUCAGUGUGUCUCUUCUGGCUUCUGGUGGCCUCAGGUGUUCUUUGGCUUAUAGAUGUUGUUCUCUGUGUCUUUAUACCAUCUUUGCCCUGUAUAUGUCUGGCUCUGUUUCCAACUUUCCCCUUUUUAUGAGGACACCAGUCAUAUUGGAUUACAGCCCGCCCUAAUUACUUCAUCAUAAUUGCAUCAUCUGCAAAGAGCCUGUUUCCAAACAUGAUGGUUAAUACUGAGUGUCUACUUAAUUGGAUUGAAGGAUGCAAAGUAUUGCUCCUGGAUGUGUCUGUGAGGGUGUUGCCAAAGGAGAUUAACAUGUGGGUCAGUGGACUGGGAGAGGCAGACCCACCCUCAAUCUGAGUGGGCACCAUCUAAUCAGCUGCCAGCCAGCCAGGACAAAAGCAGGCAGAGGAACAUGGAAGGACUGGACUUACUGAGUCUUCUGGCCUCCAUCUUUCUCCAGUUCUGGAUGCUUCCUGCCCUCGAACAUCAGACUCCACAUUCUUCAGCUCUUUGACUCUUGAACAUACACCAGUGAUUUUCCAGGGACUCUCAGGCCUUUGGCCACAGACUGAAGGCUGCUCUGUCGGCUUCCCUACUUUUGAGGUUUUGGGACUCACACUGGCUUCCUUGCUCUUCAGCUUGUAGAUGGCCUAUUGAGGGACUUCGCCUUGUAAUCAGGAUUUACGACUACCCGUCUUCUCUCAGACUCUGCUCCUGGGAUGUAACAUUCAUUGCUUGCUAUGUCUAUACCUCACUACAUGCAAUGCACCUUUAGAAGACUGUCUCCUUACUCCAUAAUGGAAUUUGUCUCUGACCUAUUGCAGCUAUGAGAUAAGCAUUACCUGCCCCAGAGGCUACCUGCCACUCAGUGAAGAUCAUAUGCCUAAGUCAUGACAUCAACAUCAAACUCUCUUCAAAUCUGGGAGAAAGGCUCAGCUCUUACAACCAGGACAAGAAGAAAUGACACCAGUAGAGAGAUCAUUUGGUGAGCAGCAGGGUUGAAAGAGCCUCAAACCAUGGAGAGAGAGCCUGGAUCUCGAGUAGAAAGGCUUCUGGCACUGAAGAAGUCAAACAGGAUCCCUGAGAGGGAAAAAGCCAGGAGCUUGGGGAAUUAUCUUCACCAAGGUCUGUCUAGAGAUGUGGUUGGCAGAUUUAUGACCCCCAAAGAUGUCUACAUCCUAAACCCAGGAAUCUGUUGCUAAGACUGAGUAAAACAAGAAAAGCAAUGGGGAACCUCACUCACAUCCAUGCUUCCUUGUCUCAUCUGUAUGUAUGAUUUUUGCACAACUUAUUUGAUACUUUGGACAUAAAGCAAGAAUUUUCAAAACAAUCCUAGCACCUAUGGGGCAUCGUGGUCAUCCAAGCCCUAAGAAGGCUGCUGUCCAUCCAGUCAAGGCUAUCGGAGGGUGUCUGAGGUGUCCUCUCCCUCCUUAUCUGCACCCCUUCCCCUUCCUGCCUUCUCAGCCAGCAGCAGCAUUGCUUCAUUGAGGAAACCUGCACAACACACAAGCAACUAAGAGGCUUCUGGAUUUCAAAAGCCUGAGUUUUGAAGAUCUCAGCCUCCAGCAUUUAUGUCAUAAACAAAAUAUUUGGACCAUUGAUGGAGAGACUUUUACCCUCAGGCUAGAUUAAGAUUCACUAAUCAAGAGAAAGAAAAGAAGCAAAUCGGACCUGAAGAAGGUAGCUGAACCUUGAAGAGGGGAAUAACAGAAACUCAAGGUCAGGUGGAAAAAUCCAAGAGUACUUUACUGAGUUGUGAUGAGGAGACUCAUAGAAGCUUCACAUUUCUCUGACUGGGGCCAACAGGUCCUCCUCCCACACUCUGGACAGCCAGAUUCCUAUUUGGCAUUAAUCUGUGUGUUCCACAGUCCGCUUCUACAGCCUCAGGAAACCUCCCGUCAACACUGGGACCUCGGUAUGGGGCAAAUUUCAGGAGGAAAAGAAUAAAAGGAAUAAAAGUUAAGUCCUCCAGUAUUUUUUGGCAGAAAGGUGAGGAGCAAAGUUCCAAUGACUCAGGAUCAGUGAUAGAAGUUGUUGGUCCAUGGGGAAAAGAAUUGGGCAUCUCCAGCUCUGUGAUCUUUCUUCCAGGCCCUUGACCUGCCACCAGCAUUUUACAUACCCACGCAUACACACACAAUUAUAUUCCCCAAAAAUACUCCCCAAAGAGGAUUUCCAGAGUGCUUUUAGAUCCUUUGACAUUUCCAACCUCUCCUCCAGUGAUUUAAAAAAAAAAUCUUCACUAGAAUCAUAAUGUCUCUGGUAUUUCUUUUCAAGAAAUUCCAAUCACAUAAUUGAACAGGGUUGAGUUGUAGGAGAGGGUUAAGAAGAACAGGCUCUCUGAGUGACAGUCACACUCAGGCGCCAUCUGGCUGCAACCCACUGUAUCAACAGCCAAACCAUGAGGUCCACACAGGUUACACUGGCGGGUACGCAGAGGCAGGGACAUCUAUCUAGUAGCAAGGCGCCUCACUGUGCAGAUCUGGGCACAUAGCUUCAUCGGAAUUCCUCCCACACCAGCCUCAAACAAGCUGCCCUUUACUGAGUGAGGUUUUCAGGGGAUGCAGGUAGGAAAAGAUUAAACAGUGAAUAACUUUAUUUAUUAUUCCUAACCCAUAGCCAUCUCGGAGGGCUGGAAUAGCUCCCUGGCUCCCUGGGUCUCAGAGAUGCCUAUAGGUCUAGGCUGUGGGUACGCCUGUGGUUUGGGGUUUGUUCUGCUUUCAUUGUGAGCCAAACCUCCAACAAUCCCUACACCCUGGGUGGUUACUAUUGAUUUUUUUUUUU